rfam:Pseudomonas sp. HPB0071 genomic scaffold aczIi-supercont1.1, whole genome shotgun sequence.
CGGACUGCAGCGCAGGAAGCGCUCAGGGAGAUCAAGGACGAAUGACCACGCCAGGAUGGCAGCUUGCCAGGGAUGUCGAGUAUGGUCAGCAAAACCCGCUUCGGCGGGUUUUU